CACCAGUUCAGUGGAUAACUCGCCUCCCAGAAACCCAAACUCUGGCCCCGUGAUGCUCGCCCACACGCGCCUCCCGCCUCCGCCUCCGCAUCCCGCCCAAAUCCUGCCCGCCCGCCUCGCCGGAGGCGGCGGUGUGGAGUUCCGCCGCAAGCUCCACUUCCUCUCGGCCGAGCUCCAUCUCGACCCGUUCCCGCUCCUCGCCCUUCAUCCUGAGCUCCGCUCCGCGCCGCUCGCGCUUCUCCAUGCCUCCCUCCGCCUCCUCCUCUCACACGGACUCUCCGCCGGCGACGCCUCCCGCGUCUUCUCGGCAUUCCCGUCGCUCCUCACCUCUCCUCCUGAGGAGUCCCUCCGCUUCCUCUCCGCCGCCGCGCCGCUACCCCCUCCUCUCCUCCGCGCCGCGGUGGUCCGUUCCCCUCGCCUCCUCGCCGCGUCCAUCCCGGACACCCUCCGCCCCGCGCUUUACUUCCUUCGCCACCGCGUUUCCCUGCGACGGAGACCCCUUCCGCUCGCUGCUGCCCUGCUUCUCGCUUUCUCCGUCGACCGCACACUCCUCCCCAAGCUCCUCUUCCUUGGCAAAGCCACGGGGCUCCCAGACCGCGCCAUCUGCACCAUUAUUCGCCGCGCCCCCGCCAUUCUCUCCUAUGGUAUCGAGACCAACCUCACGCCCAAGCUCAAGUUCCUCGCCGACGGCAUGGGCAUGGACCCAGCCGCGGAGCUCACCGAGUUCCCACACUACUUCGCGUUCAGCUUGGAGGGGAGGAUCAUGCCGAGGCACGAAGCAUUGAGGCUGAGGGGCGUUGAUAUGUCACUAAAGGAAAUGCUCAAGAGCAGCGAUGAUGAGUUCAAGGAGCGGAUCUUAGAUGCAACGCUGUCGGGCAAUAUGCAGAGGAUGUGAACCUGCACUCAGAAGGAGGGUAUGUGUGGUUGCUGCACUGCAUCUGGUUUCGAUAAUUGUGGUGCAUUGAGUUUGAAUCCAAUUAAGAAUUUUAGCCUCUAAUGUGCCAAAUGCCUUCAAAAGUAGCUCAACAUAAAUUGAGCUGGUGUGUUACUUUGGAGGAUAGCUCGCAAUGGAUUUGGUAAUCUUUGGAGGAAGGAUGGGUCCGAGGCAUGAGCUGUUUGAGAGGUGGGCAGUUUUGGUUCUAUGGUGGAGGUGUGGAACCUAUGUUUAGGAGAUGGGACUACUCUUUUGAAAAUUCCUGGGAGGCGAGAUAAGUGUGCUGCAUGCGCCAUGCUUGUUGAGGACAAGGCGAGAUAUUGGGAUAUAGCAGGAGUUCAAGAGGCAGGGCUGGUAUAUUGAUCCGAUAGCAGCCCAAGCUAAUACUUAGGCCCAGACGGGUAAGAAUGAAGCGGGAGGGUACGGGAUGGCUAUGCAUUUCGUUUUUUCCUGAGUUCUACACGUGAAAAGACUGCUAUCAUGCAUAUAUAUGUAUGUAUGGACAUAUAUACUGAUUCCCUUUUGCCAAAAUUGUUGGGUAUGCAUUGCAUACCCUUGAAUAAGUCUAGCUCCGCCUCUGAACAUAUGAGUGGUAUCAUAAAAGAGUUUAUUUAUUAGACUAUAGACUCAUUAUGUCUUCAAAUGUGUGAUGUUACAAUAACUAGCUAAGUUAUCACAAACCCCUUUCUCUUUA